rnacentral:lncRNA from 1 species
AAAAUAUAUCAUUAAGUGGUGUGAAUAAUACUAUAGUAGAAAAUGAUAAAAUGUGCGUCCAUGUUAAAGAAGAAAAAAUAGGAUCAAGUGAAGAGAAAAGGGGGUUACAUGUGGAAAAGGAGAAAGAGAAAGAGAAAGUAGAUGAAGAGAAGUAUGAGUGUCAGAAAAAAAACAUAAACGAUAACAGUGACACGAUAAAUAAUACUAGUACUAACAACAGCACCGGAAUUAACACGAACCCUAAUGCUAAUAUCGACAACAACAGCAACUACAAUACAGGCAUUUAUUCUAACACUUCCACUAACACUAAUGCUAAUAUUAACAACACCGAAAUUAACAAAAUUAUUUACAUCGAAAAAGGGAGUUCUCAAAAUGAUAUAAAUAAAACAAAUAACAUGUUUCAGUCAGUUAAAAAAAAAGAUCGUAACUUAUAUUCAGAUAAAUGUAAAAAAAAAAAAGCUGAAUGGACAAAUGAUGAAAUGACUUUUCUUCUUAUAUUGACGAAGACAUAUAUGAAUUAUAUAAAUGUUGAAGAAAUAAAAAAACAAACAAUAAUAAUGAAUAAUAGAGAACAUAAAAAUAAUGAAUUUGAUGUAAUAACUAUGACUAAUUCUAUGAGUAGUGAAAAUAAAAAUGAAAAAAAAAAAUUAGUAGCAGAUGAAAUGUUAAUAAAUAAAAAUAACAAAACAAAUAUAUAUAUACUUACUAAAAAUGAAAAAGUAUCAGAUGAUGAACAUAAGAGUAUAUUAAAUGAACCAAGCGAAUUACAUAAAAUAAAUAUUAUUUGUAAUAAUAGAAGCGAAAAUGAAUUAAACAGUGUUUCCAACGAUGUGGGUCAUACUAACGAUAUAAUUCAUAUGAACGAAUACCAAUUUGGUAAAGAUAAAACACAGGUUGAUAGAAAUGAAGUCAACCAUAUAGACAUUCCGAUUAUAUUUGGUACUGAAAAGCAUAAAGAAAACAUAAAAAUUACGAAUUCGGAAAAUAUAAAACCUGAGGAAAUAAAACCUGAGGAAAUAAAACCUGAAGAAAUAAAACCUGAGGAAAUAAAACCUGAGGAAAUAAAAUCUGAAGAAAUAAAACCCGCAGAAGUAAAACCAGAAAAAACAGAAAAAACAGAAUCUGAAGAGAUGGAAUAUGAAGAGAUGGAAUAUGAAGAGAUGGAAUAUGAAGAGACGGAAUCAGAAGAAAUGGAUGUGCAUAAAGAGUAUCAAAAUGAAAUAAAUACAAAAAAUAUUAAUUAUUAUAUUCAUUAUAUUAAUUGGGACAUAAUAU